rnacentral:lncRNA from 1 species
GAAAAUUACCACCAAACAAGAUCUUAAUAGGAUUUAAAACUAAAAAACCAAGAAUAUAAAAGUUGUCUGCAGGAGAGAUAAAAGUCUCGACUUCCAAAAAUUCCUUCUUUUUCCUUCUUAGUAUCUAUCAAUUCUCUCUGCAACAAUCUCUAACCAGGUAUGCUUUUUCAUCCUUUGUAAGAUCAACUCUAGAAGUAGAAAAGUCUUUUCAUUUUUUUUCAGAGGGUACUGGCUAUUCAUAGAGUGCAAGAUUUGAACUGUAAACAUCUUCAUCUCAUAGUUUCAAAGGAACAAAGACACAAUUCAAAGUAACAAAUGAGAAAAUAACUCUGCUGCAAAAACAUUUUUGUUUUUCUCUAUAAAAAUUUGACAAGGCCUAGAACUCUCAGGAUUUCUUAGCAUUCUCUACAGAACCAUACAUCUAUCCAAUCCUGGUUGAUUUGCCACCAUCAAAAUGCGUCCUGGACUUGAAAACAAAGAUGGCAUUUGGGUCCUUGACAUCAUACAUCCUAGCCAAUUUCUCCUUCAACUCAGCCUUGGAAACAUUAGGCCUUCCAGGAUGCAGAACAUCAAUGACAAAUCGUUUUCUGGAAAGAAGACGAUUGGUCAUGAACUUCCUAGUACGAAUAGUCACCGCCUUGUCCGCCAUUUUUUCUUGCCUCCGACGCCGCCACUGCUUCCGCUCUUUCUCCUCUGAAUGGGCGGUUGGUUGGGGAAGCGACAGAAGGGGAACGUAAAAGGCUUUCUUACAAUAAUCAAUGUCCAUGAGGGUCUUGAAUUUUAUAGUAAUAGAUUGAUGCCAAGUUAAUCCCAGAGCAAUCUUGCUGAGUUUUCUUGGCCAUGAUUGCAUGUUCACUCUUUAAAAGAUAGGGAGUGUAAUUGAUCAAAUGGGGGAGCCAACAGCUUCAACGUCUUCAGUGUUAGAGAAAUGGACAAAUGCUGCUAGUCCUUUCAAUGAAUCAGUUGUGGCAUUUUCAUUAGCAUAUCUUGUGUGAAAAACAGGACUUCUUUUUCCUUUUUUUUCUCUCUCUCUCUCUCUCAACUUAAUUAGAACAUUUCUUUAGCUGUUUCACCACUGAGCUGGGUGAGGAAUUGGUAUGGUGCCAUAACAGCACUGCUUUCUUGAAGUGAGAUUGCUGCUCUGUUUUUCCUCUGUUUCUAGCCGUGUUUCCAACAACUUCUUUGGAACUCUCUAGUUUUUACAGCUUGUGUUUAAAAGGUGUAAUGGUAUGUGUUUUCCUUGCUCUAUGUGGCAAUUUGUCUUCUUGACAAAAGUCCUGUAAUUCAAUUCUAAAAAUGCUUGCAGUUAAUUUUUUGCUUGAAUUUAGCUUAUUAAUAUGUGAUUUUUCUGGUGCAGGUUAACAUUGCAAAUUUGCAAGGUGGCUUGUUUGGGAUGUAAUAGGUGACAAGACCUUUUGGAAGCUCAAGUUUGUUUUAAACGGUGGUUAUAAACUCUAGUUAUUUUGGAAAGGCACAAUUGCUGUUCAUGUAUUUUUGCAGUAAUGACUUCAACUUUUGGUCAUGCAUAGGUGCUGAAUUAUGAUUAAAUGUCACACGUCCCUUUUUCCAUCCUAGUUUGUGCUUAUUGUUUUUUUUAGUUUCAAUUUUGCAUUUUAUUGUUUUUUAUUAAUCCGUGUAAUGAAAGUGGGAAAGUCUGACAAUAUGUAAUACAAUUGCCCAAGAUUUUUGGAACUUGGAGAUUCAUAUAGACCAAAUACUUUAAAU